rnacentral:tRNA from 2 species
GCCGGCGUGGUGGAAUGGCAGACACGCGGGUCUCAAAAACCCGUGUCCGUUAUGCGGGCAUGUCGGUUCAACUCCGACCGCCGGCA